CAAACCGUGAAGAAAGACACUCUCCAUACGACAGCUCACUGAGAAACUGAAGGAGUGGAGUCGUGACUGAGGCUGUGGGGAAGUCGAAUAUGAUGAGGCUGUAGGAUUAAAGAAAAUUGUGGGAAAGAUCAUGUAAACGGAACUCCUUUCAGCGGUUCGCGCCAAAAAUGACAUUUUUUAAAUUGAAAAUUUGUAAAAUUCUAAGCUUAAAAAUUGUGAAUUAAAAAUUUCCUAAUUAAUAGAAAGUAAUAAUCAUUUUAAAAUAUAAAGUAUAAAUUAUGGAUGUUUGCAUAUAAGUAAUGUAUAAAACGAGAAAUUCUGUUUUGGGAAUUAUGGACCACUUCCAUUAGCACUUAUGAAUAACAUUUCGUAUCUCGUUGAAACGGAAGUGAGAAGAUUACUCGGAAAACUGUGACAUCUUUUUUCUACUGUUACGAACGCUAUAGUGCCCCAAAUGAAAUGUUUCUGCUUAUUAUAAUGUUCUAUUAUACUGAAUAUUAAAUUGCUUAUAUGAUCAA